UACGGGGGGGGGCAAGCGUUUGUUCGGAAUUACUGGGCGUAAAGGGCGCGUAGGCGGCUCGCUAAGUCGGAUGUGAAACUCUGGGCUCACCCAGAGCCUGCAUUCGAAACUGACGAGCUCGAGUACUGGAGGGGAAAGCGGAAUUCCUGGUGUAGCGGUGAAAUGCGUAGAUAUCAGGAGGAACACCGGUGGCGAAGGCGGGUCUCUGGGCCGAUACUGACGCUGAGGAGCGAAAGCGUGGGGAGCGAACAGG
rnacentral:rRNA from 1 species